rnacentral:rRNA from 1 species
GAUGAACGCUAGCGGCAGGCUUAAUACGUGCAAGUCGAGGGACAGCACAGGUAGCAAUACUGGGUGGUAACCGGCAAACGGGUGCGGAACACGUACACAACCUUCCUUUUAGUGGGGGAUAGCCCAGAGAAAUUUGGAUUAAUACCCCGUAAUAUAGUUGAAUGGCAUCAUUUGAUUAUUAUAGCUACGGCGCUUAAUGAUGGGUGUGCGGCUGAUUAGAUAGUUGGCGGGGUAACGGCCCACCAAGUCUACGAUCAGUAGCUGAUGUGAGAGCAUGAUCAGCCACACGGGCACUGAGACACGGGCCCGACUCCUACGGGAGGCAGCAGUAAGGAAUAUUGGUCAAUGGACGCAAGUCUGAACCAGCCAUGCCGCGUGAAGGAUUAAGGUCCUCUGGAUUGUAAACUUCUUUUAUUUGGGACGAAAAAGGGCCUUUCUAGGUCAACUGACGGUACCAGAUGAAUAAGCACCGGCUAACUCCGUGCCAGCAGCCGCGGUAAGAC